UCAGGCUCCUAGUGGCUGGAUUUUGGGGGAGGAUUAACGUGGAAAGCCCUUGGAAAAUCAGUAUCGCCCCUGCCUGUACCGGCUAUUGUUCAGAGGAAGACCCUGAACAGGAGCACUCUGGGAGGAAGCUGGGUCAGCAUGGAAUACAUACACUCAAUGAAGGGCACAAGCCUAAUGUCACGCCUGAUGCUGAGACAAGCGGGCAGCAGAGGCAGGAUCUCUAAGGCAGAAUGUAGCUUCUGGGACUGAGCAUCCACCCCUGUGGAGCCCAGAAAGAGUCACACCUUUGUGGGAUGCGGAUUCUUUCAUUGGCUUCAGUGCAGUUAAUUAUUGCAAAGCAUUUGGAACAACUGCAAGAUUUGGACAUCAUUUUUAGUUUCCCACUGAAUCAGAUGAAAAAAUUAAGCUUUUAGCAACAUCUCUGGCUCAAGAGUAAAA